UCCUCACAUUGCUGGGAACUCCGACAGAAGAGCAGUGGACGGCCAUGACCAAGUUACCGGAUUAUAAGCCGUACCCCAUGUAUCCGGCUACCACCUCUCUGGUCAACGUUGUCCCCAAACUCAACGCCACUGGUCGGGAUCUGCUGCAGAACCUGUUGAAGUGUAAUCCGGUCCAGAGGAUCUCAGCGGAUGAAGCUCUUCAGCAUCCUUACUUCGCGGACUUCUGCCCUCCAUAGCUGAUGUGAUCAUGCCCCUCCCCCCCCAC